rnacentral:rRNA from 1 species
UACGUAGGGUGCGAGCGUUGUCCGGAAUUAUUGGGCGUAAAGAGCUCGUAGGCGGUGUGUCGCGUCGGUCGUGAAAACUUGGGGCUUAACCCUGAGCUUGCGGUCGAUACGGGCAUUACUGGAGUUCGGCAGGGGAGACUGGAAUUCCUGGUGUAGCGGUGAAAUGCGCAGAUAUCAGGAGGAACACCGGUGGCGAAGGCGGGUCUCUGGGCCGAUACUGACGCUGAGGAGCGAAAGCGUGGGGAGCGAACAGG